GCCGCGGUAGCUCAGUGGUAGAGCUUUGGUCUGAAGAACCAAGAGUCGUCAGUCCGAUUCUGACCCGCGGCACCC
rnacentral:tRNA from 2 species